rnacentral:lncRNA from 1 species
GGGCCGCGUGAACAUGUCUGACAGAAGAUUUUGCAUUUAAUGCAGAAUCUGGCCUUUCGUUCGAUCAAGGGGCGAUGCCUUUUCACCCAACGAAGAGCCAAGGGUCAAGUUCACUGAACUUAUCCACUUGGACACAUGUACGCACGAGAUCAAGGCACGAUAUUCGAUAAAACGAUCCUAACGGUUCCACUUUUCCUAUAAAUACCCCCCCCCCUUUAGUGUAAAAUUCACAAAAUCAGAUCUUAGAGCUCUAAGUUGAAACCAUUGUUUCAUACCUGAGCUAUUUGGUCUUGAUUAGCACUCGGGGACCCUCCGUAAGUCUUCUUUCGCUCUUUUAUUCGCUUUUCGAGUCCGAAAGUCAACGUUUUGUUGACUUUCUGCAUUGACCAGCUUUUGGUCAAUGUGAAGUUCAUGGAACUUCAUAACGGCCUUAAAGAUGACUUUACAGGUCUUAGAAGGGCUGGAAAUAGCUUAAACACGCAACAGGGACCAAAAGUGUAAAUUCUGCAAGUGGUGCAGAUCAGAGGGGCCAGGCGGCCCGCGUAAAGAUUGCCCAAAACAUGAGGCGGGCCGCGUGAACAUGUCUGACAGAAGAUUUUGCAUUUAAUGCAGAAUCUGGCCUUUCGUUCGAUCAAGGGGCGAU